rnacentral:misc_RNA from 1 species
UUUCCGUAGGUGAACCUGCGGAAGGAUCAUUAUUGUAUAACCGAGGUGCGAGGGCUGUCGCUGACCCGAAAGGUCCUGCACGCCCGAGUGCCCUCACACACAUCCAUCUCACCCCUAUGUGCACCACCGCGUGGGUCCCCCUUUGGCUUGUUCGGAGGGGGGCUUACGUUUUCACACAAACUUUGUAUGCAGUGUAGAAUGUAUUUUUUGUUUUUGCGAUCACGCAAUCAGUACAACUUUCAACAACGGAUCUCUUGGCUCUC